AGAAGUUUAUGUGAACUUCAUUAAUCAACACUGCAGUAUUUUUAUUGUGAAUCCUAAAAGCGAUUGAGAUGCGUAUAUAUAACUAAGGAGAGUGUAUGACAAGUGAAUGGAGAGCCAUGUACUAUGAAAUAUAGCAGGGAAAAUACUGAUUUUUCAUUGGACGAAAAUAGAUGUGGAAAUCAUCGUUUGCCUGUAGAGACGGCAAGAUGGCAAACUAUACCGAGAUCGGAAAGGUCUUGUUACCUCUGCAGCUCGACAGAUAUUGGAGAUGAGUUUCAAUACAUUAUGUGAUGCAAUUUUUUCAACAUAGAAAGAGAAAAAUAUUUACCACAUUAUUGUAAAAAAAAAUGCUAACAUUAUUAAAUUUAAUCAUAUAUUCUCAUCUGAAAAUGUUGUUGAACUAGAAAAAGUGUGUAGAUUUAUACGAUACAUAUCAGUGAAAGUCUGUCUUCUUGGUUAGAGGAAGUGUAAUACUAUUAUAUUGUUAUUUAUUUUCACACAUGCGAAACAAAAUAUGUAUUAUAUAUGAACUGUUAUUUUCUCUGUAACUAUGUACUAGUUUAUGAAAAUAAAAUCAUUCA